CUCCCACAGUGCUGGGGUUACAGGCAUGAGCCACCGUGCCAUCAGGUAUUUCUUUAUAGCAGUGUGAGAACGGAUUAAUACUAGCACCUUUUCAUAUACCUGUUUGCCAUUUGUAUGUCUUCUUUUGAGAAAUGUCUAUUCAAAUCUUUUAUUAAUUUUAAAUUGGAUUAUUAGAUUUUUUUCCUAUUGAGUUGUUUGAGCUCCUUAUAUUUUUUUGUGAAUUAUUCUUUGUCAGAUGGAAAACUUGCAGAUAUUUAUUUUCUUCCACUCUGUAGGUUGUCUCUUCACUUUGUUGAUUGUUUCCUUUGCUGUGUAGAAGCGUUUUAACUUGAUGUGAUCCCAUUUGUCCAUUUUUGCUUUGGUUCCCUGUGCUUGUUGGGUAUUACUCGAGAAAUCUUUACCCAGUGCAAUGUCCUGGAGAGCUUUCUCAGUGUUUUCUUUAGUAGUUUCAUGUUUGAGGUCAUAGAUUUAAGUCUAUGAUCCAUUUUGAUUUGAUUUUUGCAUAUGUCAAAAAAUAGGGGUCUAGUUUCAUUCUUCUGCAUAUAGAUGUCCAGUUUUCUUGGCAUUGUUUAUUGAAGUGACUGUUAUUUCCCCAGUGUAUGAAUGUUCUUGGCACCUUUGUUGAAAUUGAAUUCACUGUAGAUGUAUGAAGUUGUUUUUGGGCUCUUUAUUAUGUUCCAUCGGUCUACGUAACUUGUUAUGCUAGUACCUUGUUGUUUUGGUUACUAUAGCUCUAUAAUACGAUUUGAAGUCAGAUAAUGGGAUUCCUCC
rnacentral:lncRNA from 10 species